UACAGAGGGUGCAAGCGUUAAUCGGAAUUACUGGGCGUAAAGGGCGCGUAGGUGGUUGCGUAAGUGAGAUGUGAAAUCCCCGGGCUCAACCUGGGAACUGCAUUUGUGACUGCAUGGCUAGAGUACGGUAGAGGGGGAUGGAAUUCCGCGUGUAGCAGUGAAAUGCGUAGAUAUGCGGAGGAACACCGAUGGCGAAGGCAAUCCCCUGGACCUGUACUGGCGCUCAUGCACGAAAGCGUGGGGAGCAAACAGG
rnacentral:rRNA from 1 species